CGCCCGCCGUCGCCCCGCUGCCGGGCCGCCCACCGUCGCCACGGCGCUCUGCCCCGGGGUAUGGGUUAUCAAGGCCAGCCCGGUUACGCCCCUCGGCGCCCGCGGGUUGUUCGCCCUCUACCCCGGCGCGCGGGCAGGGCCUUCUCCGUGGGAGGCUGAGAAGGGCAGGGGAAAGUAUGAAUCCAGUUUUCCACCAAAAAACAAUGCAGCUAAGGAUACUACUUGGUUUCACCUAUGCCAAAAGAAUAUUUGGAGUACCAAAUAAGAAUAUCCCUAAAUUGCUGAGUCUCAUGAGUUGCUGAAGCUAGCCUUUGAAUUUAGGAUCAUCCUGCUGCAUUCUGCCUCAGGCUUCUAAGUCACUGGGAUUACAGAGACUUGGUGAAUUUUCCCACAAAGCUGCAAUGAAGACAGAGGGAGAACAAAAUCUAUAUAAAGAGAAAUUACAAGAAGGUGUGAUAUAACACUUGAACAUAUAUACUAAUUUUGACAAAACGUGUUUGGAGCUGAAUUCUUUCUCUGCAUUUGAGCAUUUACAAGAUAAAAGUACAUAUCUUUAGGGAACUAUUAGGGAACUAUUAACUCUAAAUCCCAAUACAUGAAGUUAACUUUAAUUGGCAAAAAGUUAAUUUGACAUUAUUAUUAAAAAUAUCAUUUGGGUUUGUUCAUUUUUUUCUUUUCUUCCUUUCUUUUUUUACUUGUGGUUCUGGGAAUUGAACCCAGGGCCUUUCUCUUGCUAAUCAUGUAUUUUACUACUGAUUACACUCCAGUCCAAUUUUCAAGAGUCAUUUAAUUGAUUUAUUCAAGAUUAGUUAUAUCUCAGAGGACAUUUGAUUUGAAAAUUGGAAAUCCUGAGAAAGUCAGCUCUUUUGUAGAUUUUGAAUAGUUUAGCAAGAAAUUUAAGGGCAAUUUUCUCAAGAUUCUCAAAUACAGUAACAAAUAAUGACUAUGGGGAGGGAGAUAUAAGGCACAUAUGUAAAACCGUUAACAAUUGGUGUA